rnacentral:rRNA from 1 species
GAUGAACGCUGGCGGCGUGCCUAAUACAUGCAAGUCGAGCGAACAGACGAGGAGCUUGCUCCUCUGACGUUAGCGGCGGACGGGUGAGUAACACGUGUAUAACCCACCUAUCAGACUGGGAUAACUUCGGGACACCGGAUCUAACCCCGGAUAAUAUAUUGAACCGCAGGGUUCAAUGGUGAAAGACGGUUUUGCUGUCUCUUAUAGAUGCAUCCCCGCCGCAUUAGCUAGUUGUUAAGUUAACGGCCUACCAAGGCAACGCUGCGUAGCCGACCUGAGAGGGUGAUCGGCCACACUGGAGCUGAGACACGGUCCAGACUCCUACGGGAGGCAGCAGUAGGGAAUCGGCCGCAAUGGGCGAAAGCUUGACGGAGCAACGCCGCGUGAGUGAUGAAGGUCUUCGGAGCGUAAAACUCUGUUAUUAGGGAAGAACAAAUGUGUAAGUAACUAUGCACGUCUUGACGGUACCUAAUCAGAAAGCCCCGGCUAACUACGUG